rnacentral:rRNA from 1 species
GCGUAAGGGCUCGCAGGCGGUUUCUUAAGUCUGAUGUGAAAGCCCCCGGCUCAACCGGGGAGGGUCAUUGGAAACUGGGGAACUUGAGUGCAGAAGAGGAGAGUGGAAUUCCACGUGUAGCGGUGAAAUGCGUAGAGAUGUGGAGGAACACCAGUGGCGAAGGCGACUCUCUGGUCUGUAACUGACGCUGAGGAGCGAAAGCGUGGGGAGCGAACAGGAUUAGAUACCCUGGUAGUCCACGCCGUAAACGAUGAGUGCUAAGUGUUAGGGGGUUUCCGCCCCUUAGUGCUGCAGCUAACGCAUUAAGCACUCCGCCUGGGGAGUACGGUCGCAAGACUGAAACUCAAAGGAAUUGACGGGGGCCCGCACAAGCGGUGGAGCAUGUGGUUUAAUUCGAAGCAACGCGAAGAACCUUACCAGGUCUUGACAUCCUCUGACAAUCCUAGAGAUAGGACGUCCCCUUCGGGGGCAGAGUGACAGGUGGUGCAUGGUUGUCGUCAGCUCGUGUCGUGAGAUGUUGGGUUAAGUCCCGCAACGAGCGCAACCCUUGAUCUUAGUUGCCAGCAUUCAGUUGGGCACUCUAAGGUGACUGCCGGUGACAAACCGGAGGAAGGUGGGGAUGACGUCAAAUCAUCAUGCCCCUUAUGACCUGGGCUACACACGUGCUACAAUGGACAGAACAAAGGGCAGCGAAACCGCGAGGUUAAGCCAAUCCCACAAAUCUGUUCUCAGUUCGGAUCGCAGUCUGCAACUCGACUGCGUGAAGCUGGAAUCGCUAGUAAUCGCGGAUCAGCAUGCCGCGGUGAAUACGUUCCC